GGGGGCGCGGCUUUGUGGCGGCCGCGGACCGCGGAGGCCCGGCGCAGCCCCGUCGGCUCGGCGCUCUCCGCAGAAAGGCUCUACGCCCCUGCCCAUCCCUCGGAUCUGGUCUGGGGAGGGCCGGGGUUGCUGCUGGAAGCCCCCCCACCCCCCAGCCGUGCUCCGCCGCCGGGAAGGAUUCGAGGCUGGGCUCCGAGCGAGGCGGAGGCUGCAGGGCCCCGGGGCGCACCCCGCCCCGCGCACGCCGCCGGAGCCCUGGCAGGCGCAGCCCCGGGGGGGCUCCCUGCACCCGCGGGAGGCGGCUGCGAGAUCUGCCAGAAAUGUUGGUGAAUGAAAUGUGGAUGGAUGGCAUCAAGGCCAGAGGAUGCAAAAGGCCCUAGUUUUGAUUAAAAAAAAAGAAAAAAAAGAAAAAGAAAAAGCCAGCUUGGCUUGGCACCCUCCUUCCUGCCAGUCAGGGGACUGCAAAGCUGUUUCCAGAGCGCGGCUGAUGAAUUGAGGGAGGAGCAACAGGACAGUGCCAGUCGCCUCUCAGGGCUGCGCUAACAUAAAACCAAACAACUUGAAACUGUUCCAAGGGAGCGGAUUAAGGCAACAUGUUAUUCUGAGUGAUUGCUUAAUUUAUUGAGCUGCGGCUAGAUCUGUAAUGAAAUACAGCCCUUGUAACUGAUCACCUCCUACUGCAAUUGGACUUCUACAAUUAAGGGAUAUUUUCCCAGAGUUUCUCUCGAAGUGCCUGGAAUUUGUGGCCUCUGUGGUGGGGUGCUUCUGGCCGCGCAUGCUCCAGGCAAGCUUUUUUUUGGUUUGUUUUAAAGAGCAGCAGGUUGAUGUUAAUAAAGAAAAUAAGCAGCAUUUUACUGAGUGCCAUGUGUACAGCAGGUGGCUUAUAUACAUUUGCUCUGACCCCCUCCAUUUCCCAGUGAAAUAACCCUCACUAUUCCGUUUUACAUGGGAAGACAUGAGACAUGAGGGAAUUUUUUAGAGCAAGGCCCUCUAAGCCACACGUGACUAUUCGUGUCAAUUAGGUCAAGUUGAUUGCGUCUGAAAACGCACCCUUUGGGGUGCAUGAGCAAUGAGUUCAAGUGCCAACCCUGCCAGACUGGGGGGCUGGUGGCCACCAUAUUGGAUGGUGUGCAUAUAACUCGUUUUGAUGAUUAUAGAUCUAUUGCUCCGAGGUUGGUUCUAUAGAUCCAGAGAUUUCAUGGCAAGAAAUGGGCAGCUUCAGAAUUCAAAGCCCUAGUUAAUGGGCUUUGACCGUAAAGCUUGUCUGCCACCCCUUACUUCCUUCUCCCGCACCAGGGACCCUCAGCCAGGCUGCGUGUUAAAAUUACCUGGAUCUUUCGGGUUGUUUUUAUUUUUGUUUGAGACAAGGUCUCACUAUGUAAUUCAGGCUGGCCUUGAACUCAUGCUGAUCCUCCUCCCUCAGUCUCCCAAGUGCUGGGAUUACAGUCAUGGAAUGGGGUGGGGGGACCUUUGCUUGUAGAAUAGCCUUUGUUACACUGUCAUGGAAGAAGCUAGAUAUAUCAUGGAGAUGACGUGAGAACCCUGUAGCUCCAAAUUGAAUUAGCAGCAUCAGGAGGAACGCAGGCACUCUCUCUCUCACUUUAUAAAGUGGAGCAUGGGGUUGCAGGUUCUGUCCACUGAGGUUAGAGACCACGACCAGUCACAGCGAGGACCCAGCACCAGGGUACGGUCCCUAAACACCUCUUUUAAUCAGCAUUCAAGGCCCCCUGGGCAAAUGGCCAAUUCCACAUCUGAGCCAAGAAAUGUUCCAGUGAGCCUGAGAUGUCUUUGUUUGUUUGUUUGUUUGGCUUUUGAGCCAGGGCCUUCCUUCCUUUAUAGUUUAGGCUGGCUUCGAACUGACUCCGGAGCCCAGGGUGGCCUCAAAUUCACGGCAGUCCUCCUGCCUCCAGCUCCUGAGUGCUGGGAUUUACAGGCCUGCGACACCACACCCAGCUGAGCCUUGACUAUCUUGUCACUGGGAAGCAGGAAAGCUGUUUCAACUGCUGGAGUCACAUCUGAAAGGAUGCAGGAGACAGCAUGAAAAGAUUCUCAUUGGCCAAAAAUGACAAUUUGAGCAUUAUUAGGAAUACUAACUAUAGCCAGAUGUGGUGGCACUCUGGGAGGCUGACGCAGGAGGAUUACAAGUUUGACCCCAGCCUAGGUAAUUUAACAACUUAAGACUCUGUCUCAAAAUAAAAAAUAUUAUAAAAGGGCUACACAUGUAGCUCAGUGCAAAGGCCCUGGGUUCAACCCAUAGUUGAACCAAAUAAUGAUAAUAAUAAUAAUAAUAAUAAUGCAAACCAAAUAAUAAUAAUAAUAAUUACAGUGUAUUAAACAUUUCAACUUCAUGUCCAAACAAUGAGUUCACCAUGAUGCUGGAGCACAAGAAAAACAUAAACUUACUCAUCACCAAGCCUGCAUUUUGGAAACUGUCAAAGGAAAAGAAUCUAGCAUUUGGGCCGAGGAUUUAGCUCUGUGGUUCCACUGCCUGCCUUGCAAGUGCAAGGUCCCAAGUUCGAUCCUCAGUACCAAAAAAAAAAAAAAAAAGAAUCUAGCAUUUGUCCUUUUUGGAUGACCCAUACUCUAUGGAAGCCAAGCGAUGGAUAAAAUGGUGUGCUUUAUAGAAGUAUUUCCACUAACCAAGACAGACAGAGAUUAGGAUGCCACUGGUUUUUAGUCUCUAGGGGAGUGACAGGUCUGGACAGUGAUCAGCAGCAGCUAACAUCACAGAGGAAAAUCAGGUCUUGACCUCCAAAUCAGCUACUAGGAAGCAGACAAAAAAAUGCAUCUUUGUGAGCUUCCAGAUUGAACUAGCAAUACAGGAGGGAGAGGAGCAGAUAUAACACCUUUAUGAGGAUGCAAUAAGCAAAAUCCAGACUAUAGGACACAUCAUAGAGCAUCCAACCCAGUUUCUUCAGUAAACUGUAGGGAAAGAGAAAGGAAGAUGAAAGAGAGGUGUACGAGACACAGCAACCAAUCACAAUAUAUGAGCUUUAUUUGCAUCCUGAUCUUACCCAGUUGUGAGAAAACAUUUAAAAGAAAGCUAGAUAAAUGUGAAUCCUGACCAGAUAUAGUAUUUGCUGAUAUUAAAAGAUUUACUGUUUUUUGUGGGGUUUUUUUUGGUACCAGGGAUCAAACUCAGGACCUUGCACUUUCGAAGCAGGCACUGGAACCACUGAGCUAAAUUCCCAGCCCCCUUUACUGUUAAUUUCAAUAGUGGUAAUGGUAGUAAAAAACCCCCAAAACCUAAUUAUCAGCUGGGCAUGGUGGCACACACCUGUAAUCCCAGCACUCUGGGAGGCCGACACAUGUGAGUCUCAGGUUUGAGCCCAUCCCGGGCAACUUAGCAAGACAGUGUCUCCAACAAAACGAAACAAAAAAUACCCUACUUCUUUCUUGGGAGUUAUCUUUGGAAAUAUUUGCCAAAGAAAUGAUUGAUAUCUGGAUUUCCUUAUGAAGGGGAAGGAAGUGCCAUGGAACAAGAUUGGCCCAGGGUUAGUGACUGCUGUAGCUGGCUUUGCGGUACCAGAUGCUCUAUUCCUAUGUGUGCUUGAAGCUUUUCAUAAUAAAAAAAAAAAGAAGGAAAAUCAGGCUUUCCUUGCCCUUUUCUUUUCUUUUUCUUUUUGGUACCAGGGGAUCGAACUCAGGACCUUGCGCUUGUGAGGCAGGCAUAGAAACACUGAGCUAAAUACCCAACCCUCCCUCCCCUUUUAUUUCUAGAUACUGUCCACCCCACUGCUAGCAUCUCUGCGACCAGCCUGAGGAGCAGGCUUGGGUUAUACCUUCAAGCAGCCCAUCCCAUCUCCAUGGCAACCAACAUCCAGAAGUCUCCAUCCACACUAGGGUCAGGCCAGGCCAGGUUGCCAGUGCUGUGCCAGGAUGCACAGAGCUGCUCCCUUUGGGAUUUUCAUAGGGGACCCCCCAGCUGAGCAGCCUCUCUGUGCCCCAUCCCCCUCAUUCUUGCCUUCCCCCUGCAGCCCCUAAGGAAGCAGUGGUCAAUUGGUGGAGAGAAUAGACCCUGAAUCAGAUCCAGGUUCAAAUUCUGACUCCACCACUUAACAGAAGAACUUUAGCCCCCAUGUGCCUCAGUUUCCUUGUCUGUAAAAUGGGUAUAACUGGACCUCAACUAACUCAAUAAAUUGUUAUUAUGGGAGGGAUAGUGGCAAAAAGGACCCAGUCUCCACUUCCUGGAACUAGACUGUUGGUGGUGAAGGGUGAUUUCAGGACAGUUCAAGUGCUGUGAUAAUGUACACGGUGUAGAACUGGAGAAGCAAGGGUGCUUGGUCCUACCCCAACUUUUAGAAAAACUGGCAGUCGCUACAUAGGAGAAACCCUAACUCCCAAUCCUACUUUCACGUGCCAGAAUUGCCAUGCUUUUUGACAACUCAGUGUGUAGCGAUGGAAAAUGCGCAGAAUACGCAGUGCUCAAGAUUCCGUUUCCGGGAGGUCAGGACAGCUCCUCUCAUCUGCUGAGGACGACGCUGGGCUGGGCGCGGAGAGCAGAGGAAGCUUCCACAAGGCCCCGCCUUCUGUGCUCAGGCUCUGCUCGCUGCUUAAGCUUUGAAACAGGAGGACAUCAUAGUGCCAGGAGGUUAAAAUCUCCCCAGGUCCAACUUUACUUUGCAAAUGAAGAAAAGUAGCCCAGAGAGGCCUGAGGCAACACAGUGAAUCACCGCUCCUUGGAAAGAAAGUACGAGGAUGCAGCAGGGAAGCCGGCUCCUACCGCUCCAAUUAAUCCUGUCCCUGAGUAGGAGCGGAGACAACCACGCCAGCUUCCCUGGGACUGAGGACUUCUGGAAUUGAGGAUUUGGGGCACUACACCAGGACGAUUCGGGGCUACCCUCCCAUGGGAUGGGGGGCUUUAUUUUCUCUCUGCCCCACAGACCAGGGGCGUCAAAGUGGAUGUUUUCCAAGAAACAAGGCUCUGGUGGAGCUGGUGAGCCGUGGGGCUUCAUGCCUGGUCCCCGAGGGACUGCCCACGUGGCGCCUGGGUGGCCUCAGAAGUGGCCCGUGGCCCAGCCUCCCUCCCUUCUGUUCCGCCCCAGCAGACAACUGCUCUUCCAAACCGUCACCCUAAUCACCCUGCUGUAGUUUACAGACCUCCAUGGUUCUCGUGCCCAUCACGUUAAGAAGAACUCUGCAGGCCCAGGAAACCUGAGUGGGCUUCUUCCCCGGCCCUGGCUGUCUCCCUUGUGAAGUCAACCUAAGUCCUAAAAGUUCCAAGCGAGGCCAGGAUAAAGCAAGCUGUACUAACUGCAGCCUCCCUCCCCACAGUCCCUCCUCUCUGAGUGUGUCAGCACAAUUGUCAUCUCGUCUCCCUUGGUCUAAUUAACUCAUUACUAAUAUUCCAUCUCCCCCAGCCCUGGCUAGACUGGUGGCAAAGGUGACCCUGGUGACACGUGAAGGGGGCUCAAUAUCAUAGGACGGUUGCAUAAAUGUCACUGCCAUUGUCACCUCUAGCCAGGGUUCCAUCUGAGAUCACAAACCCUCCACAGCCCUUGGGACCUCCUGCUCCCUUUUCAGACAGGCAGGUCUCUGUGAUGUCCCGGAGAGAGGGGGACUCCAGAGAAAGACUGGCAGGAGACUCCUGGAGCAAUAAGAGUGGCAGCCAGAAUCCAGGUGGAGUCUCUCUCUCUCUGCUCCCCUGUAUCCAGGCUGUUCACGCGACUUAUUCUAAUAGACUGUUCUAGAAGCUUCUGUUUUUGCUGACUUGGAAUGCUUCUCCAAUGCGUCUACAUGCGGAAACUGUUCUUACCUACUAGAAGAUGAGAGGCCAUGUGAAGGAGAACCGAGGCCGUCUAGGCAGUGCCAACUACCACACCAGUGCUGCUGUAUUCCCUCCAGCACAGCUGGCCCUCCUGCCAACCAUGAGCCAUGAGUAAGGCCAGAUGCAGUCAGCAGAGAAACCACCCACAGAAUUGUGAAAAAUCAUACUGGGCUGUUUGAAGUUAUUAUGUUAGGAGGGCUGCUUUGCACAGCAAAGCCUCACCAACACAGCGUAAGAAGCCACCAGGAUUUCCACUCUGGUGUCCCACAUCCUGGAGGGGGACCUCUCAGAGGCAGAGACUGACCGUGGAGCUGGUGAG
rnacentral:lncRNA from 1 species